AUUGCUGUGGCAAUAUUCAAAUAGAAUAUACUACAGUAGUAUAUUCUAUUUGAAUAUUGCCACAGCGAUAAGAUGAAAGU